AGGGUUUGAUUCUGGCUCAGGACGAACGCUGGCGGUGCGCCUAAUGCAUGCAAGUCGAACGAGCGACCCGGGCUUGCCCGGUUAGCUAGUGGCAGACGGCUGAGUAACACGUAAGUAAUUUGCCCCGAAGAGGGGGAUAAUCCAGAGAAAUCUGGCCUAAUACCCCGUACCUUUCUUUCCGGCCUGCCGGAUUGAAAGAAAGGCUCCGGCGCUUUGGGAGAAGCUUGCGGCUUAUCAGGUAGUUGGUGGGGUAAUGGCCUACCAAGCCGAAGACGAGUAACCGGUGUGAGAGCACGAUCGGUCAGAGGGGGACUGAGACACGGCCCCCACUCCUACGGGAGGCAGCAGCAGGGAAUCUUGCGCAAUGGGCGAAAGCCUGACGCAGCGACACCGCGUGGAGGAUGAAGGUCUUAGGAUUGUAAACUCCUUUUAUCAGGGAAGAGAGAGGACGGUACCUGAUGAAUAAGGUUCGGCUAACUACGUGCCAGCCGCCGCGGU
rnacentral:rRNA from 1 species